rnacentral:tRNA from 1 species
GAAGGUAUAGCUCAGUGGUAGAGUGCAUGCUUAGCAUGCAUGAGGUCCUGAGUUGAAUCCCCAGUACCUUCA